UGCGAUCAAAAAUUUUAAUCAUGCAUGAGUUAUGGUCGCUGCCUGUAUAACGUUUAAAAUUAUUCGUUGCGGUUUUCUGGGCACAUACUACUGUUAUAUCAAAAGCGGAGAACUUUCAGUAUUAUCAUGUAGGCCUUUCUUGGCCUUUUCAGCACGACUACCCAUCCUAUACUCGCAAAUUGGUACAAUUUUCAUCCAAAUCGUUCAUCAAGGCUUUCUCUGCUCCGAAACUGACAAACAGGAUCAAGUAGACAUAUUGAAGCCUUCCGGGCUUCACAACCAUGAAAGUCACAAAUACCGGUAUCUUCCUAAUUGUCGCUGUACUGUCGCUGGUGGCUUAUGCAGCCGUGGCUGAGCAUGCCGGGGAUGAAGAGACAACACAGCGAGCUGCGGACCUUCCGAUCGAUCGCACUCACCGCGACGGAGCAGUUGCAUCCAACGAAACUGUCAGCCAAUUUAAUAAUACCUCUGCGCACUCUGCCCGUGUUAUCGUAAAACGCAGCGGCGGUCACGCGCAUGGUCACGGGCCAGCCGGUAGCCAUCCACCCACUGGCUCUACCAACCACAAGCCGCACGGCACCCCGGACAACCAGAAAGGAUAGUUUUGCUUGCAACGUGUUUAUAUGUCAAGAUUUGUAAGGAGGUAUCGCGAGCUGGCAGUAGAAAAUGAAAUGGCCACCAUUGUGCAUUUUUUCAAUGGUGUUUGUUGUCGUUUUCUUAGGUUAGUCUAUUGCAUAUUAGUGCGCUUACCGAAUUAUUAGAAUUGUCAUCUUUGGAGUUCCCCAUUCAAAAUUACGGUUUACCUGUUUGCGAAAUUCGUUUUCGUACAUGCUAGGUGCUAAUCAGUAUCAAAACAACCCUUUAACCAUUAGCAGAAA